rnacentral:rRNA from 1 species
AUGGCGGAGAUCCUGCUGCGUCUGCCGCCGAGCUCCAGGCGCCGGGCACGCCUAGUCUGCCGGCUCUGGCGCGACGUCGUCAACGAGCGAACCACGGAGUCGCAGAGCCGUCCCAAGCUCCUCCUCUGGAGGGCCGACAAGGCCAUCGUCUAUGUCUCCAGCGACCUGUCGUCGCCAUCGCCAACAGGGAGCUGCACCGAGCUGUGGAGGUACUCCGAGCCUGAGCGCCCCCUCUACGCUCUGCAGCUGGUCGGCACUUGCAACGGGCUGCUCUGCCUGUGCGAUAACACCAAAGGGGUAGGCGGCACCAUCGCCCUGCUCAACCCGGCCACCGGCGAGGAGCUUCCAGUCCGGCCGCUGCCGUGCGCAGAAUCGUUCAUCAUCGGGACCCAUCGCUCGAUUGGAUGGGGCUACGCGUACAGCUUCGCGUACCACCCGACCACGGGGCAAUACAAGGUCGUGCACGUCCCGUCCAGCCACGACCGGAUCUGUGAGUUCAACGCCGUUCAUGUGCUCACGCUGGGGGAGCCCACGUGGAGGGAGGUGCCGGUCGACCCUGGCGACGUGAUUACCAGGCUUGCCGCUGGUAUCAUAAGCGUCGAUGGCAUGACAUACUGGGUUAGGGUUACCGGUGGUGGCGCGGCAAAGAUCAUGUCAUUUGACCUCAGCGACGAGCGUGUCGUCUCCACCACCAUACCGUUGCCAGUCCGACGUGAUCAGUACCGCCUGGCGGAGGUGCAUGGAAGGCUGGGAUUUAUCGCCGGGCCUAAUGUAUGGGUUCUAGAGGAAGGACAACGGUGGAGCCACCGGUACAACUUCAAGCAAGAUAUCCCACGGGGCGCUUCUUCGUAUGGUUGCAUUCCCGUCUCUAUCCAAUAA